rnacentral:misc_RNA from 1 species
GCCAACGGCAAACAUAUUUUCAAUCUCUAAAAUGAUUUACUUAUUCGUCAAAUGAAAUUAAAAAUAUGUACAUUAUAGGUUAGAGUUAAAGUGAAUCAAUAAUCUAAAGUUUGUAAAAAAAGAAAAAAAAUACAAGCAGCGUAGAACGUAGAAUUGCUUGUGAUUUAAAAUAAACAUACAAUAAAAUAAUAUUUUUUAAACAAGUCGCAUUUCAAUUUCGAUUUUUUUCAAAGCAUUCACUUCUGUUAGAACUAUUUCAGAAGAGCUCAGUUUAAAAUAUUCAACAUUUUCACGCCAAAGGAAACGAAUUGCGAACGCUAUUCUCAGAGUUUCUUACAGAAAACUUUAAUACCUCUUCAGCUUUAAAACUACCGAAGCAAUGACAACUGUUCUUGAUUUGACUAUUAAUAAAACUCUGGAAUAUGAAACUACUGAAAUAUCAGAAAUGGAACCAUAUCCUGAUUUUACACAAAUACCAGUUGUGCGUUUCAUUUUUGUGGCUGUGUAUAUUAUAGUAAUGGUGCUGGCGGUAGUUGGAAAUGCUGUAGUGUGUUGCACAGUUUUUUCGAACCGUAAAAUGCACACUGCCGUAAACUAUUAUAUUGUGAAUUUAGCGAUUUGUGACUUUCUGGUUGGUGUUUUCGUUUUACCUCUCAAACUAUUAGAGCUUACAUCUCCUGCUCAUUGGGGAAUACUGAGCGAUACAUUAUGUACUGUUAUGAUGUAUGUUCAGACGAUAUUUGUGUUUGCUAGUGUACUGACACUUGUUGCCAUUUGUAUAGAAAGGUACAUGGCAGUUCUUCAUCCCCUUGAAUCCCGUAUGCAUCAGACAAAAGCAAGAGCAAAGAGAAUAUUAUGCAUUGUGUGGGCACUGCCAUGCGUUGUAGCCAUACCGUUUCUCUACCCAUCAGAAGCUUUUUCAAACACAUUGCAAAGUGAAUACGGUGAGAUAUCCCGUCUUACUUGCUUCAUAGGUCUACCAGAAGAAUUCCGUCGAGCAUAUUACACAUUUCUGUUUGUAUUCAUGUACAUUUUACCACUAAGUUUCAUUGCUGUUACAUGCUACAGAGUUGCUCGGUGUCUCUUGCAAGGAAUACCGGUGCAUCGACAAGGAAGUAUUAGACGACAGGAAGCCAACAGGAGAAAAAUUGCAAAGAUGGUUCUGAUGGUUAUUUUAGCAUUCGCUGUUUCCUGGACACCAUACUUCUUAGUCAGCAUCAUAACACAGUAUCAAACAGUGAACUUUAUGCACAAAGAGAACUUCUUUUUCACUAUGCUGUGCAUCAAUUUGUUUGCCUUUGUCAAUUCGUGCGUCAAUCCCUUCAUCUACGCAGCCAUGAGUACGAGAUUCAGGAGUGGCUUUCGUGGUUGUUUUAGAGUUGUCUGCCUUCUUGCAUUGUGCUCCCAACGUGAAGUAGAAAAUGAUAUCAUGGAUCCAAGAAUUGCAGACAGAACAAGAGGAAAGAAAAACGUUAGAUUUAUGUGUGAACCGCCUAUGUCCUGCUUCAUGGCCCAAAGUUCAUCUGAAGGCAACAGUGGAAGUAAUGCAAGAAUGUCAGAAACCAGCCAACGUACAGCUUGUACCACAGUUCCAGCUGCCAAGCGUGGUAGUUCCUUCUUUCACUCUAUAAUCAUGAACAAUGCUGGGAGCAAAUUUCUUGCACAAUACUUAAAGAAAGAUAGAGAUGUCAAGCACAAUGGACAGAUACCGAUGCUAGAAGUUUCACCCGAUUCCGAUAGCAAGACUGCUCAACCCACAAUUCCGAUGCCCAUUUUCUCGACACUGGGAAAGAGUCAAUUGUCUCGAAAGAGCUGUUGUAGUGCUGGAGAUAUAACUCUUGCAUCAAACUUCAUGGCGUCAGAUGAGUCAUUUUCAGGAAAUAGAAGAAGUUCAUCCUGUUUGGACUUGCGAAACAAUCACAGAACCCAGUCUCAGUUAUUUACCAUGUUAUAUUAAUUUAAAUAAAAUGUUAUCGUCGAAUUUAAUAUCAUGAAUGAUCAGAAUGAGAGUCAAGUCGUUCUGCUUAAACUGAUAUUUGAAAUCUGUCGUUGGCAGCAUUUAUUUGUCAAUGCGAUUUAAAAAAAA